GAAAUGCGAUAAGUAAUGUGAAUUGCAGAAUUCCGUGAAUCAUCGAAUCUUUGAACGCACAUUGCGCCCUCUGGUAUUCCGGGGGGCAUGCCUGUCCGAGCGUCAUUGCGUACCCCUCAAGCACGGCUUGUGUGAUGGGCCCUCCCGCGUCUUGGUCGUCAAGACGGGCCCGAAAAGCAGUGGCGGCUUCGCGGUUAUCCGAUCAGCCAGAGCGUAUGGGGACUUUCUCUCUGUCACACGCCCGCGGCGCGGACCGACGCCUGUCGACCUUUAUUCAUCUUUUUCUCGGUUGACCUCGGAUCAGGUAGGGAUACCCGCUGAACUUAAGC
rnacentral:misc_RNA from 1 species